GUGCUGGCUUCAGCAGCAGCCGUGCUACGAUUGGAAGCACACAGAGAACAGCAGCGUGGGCCCUGCGCAAGGAUUUCGGGCAAAUUCCUGAAGUGCUCCCUAUUUAA
ensembl:snRNA U6 U6 spliceosomal RNA